rnacentral:rRNA from 1 species
GGUUCCUACGGGAGGCAGCAGUAGGGAAUUUUCGUCAAUGGGCGCAAGCCUGAACGAGCAAUGCCGCGUGAGUGAGGAAGGCCUUCGGAUCGUAAAGUUCUGUUGCGGGGGAAAAAGGACAGGAAGAGGAAAUGCUUUCUGUUUGAUGGUACCCCGCCAGAAAGUAACGGCUAACUACGUGCCAGCAGCCGCGGUAAUACGUAGGUGGCGAGCGUUAUCCGGAAUGAUUGGGCGUAAAGGGUGCGCAGGCGGCAUGUCAAGUCUGAAGUGAAAGGUGCGGGCUCAACCUGGACAG